UCUCGUAGCUUGCUAUGAGAACAAUUAGUGGCAGACGGGUGAGUAAUGCAUAGGAAUCUACCUAGUAGUAUGGGAUAGCCACUAGAAAUGGUGGGUAAUACUGUAUAAUCCCUGCGGGGGAAAGAUUUAUCGCUAUUAGAUGAGCCUAUGUUAGAUUAGCUAGUUGGUAGGGUAAAGGCCUACCAAGGCAGUGAUCUAUAGCUGGUCUGAGAGGAUGAUCAGCCACACUGGAACUGAGAUACGGUCCAGACUCCUACGGGAGGCAGCAGUGGGGAAUAUUGGACAAUGGGCGCAAGCCUGAUCCAGCUAUGCCGCGUGAGUGAGGAAGGCCUUAGGGUUGUAAAACUCUUUCAGUGGGGAAGAUAAUGACGGUACCCACAGAAGAAGUCCCGGCAAACUCCGUGCCAGCAGCCGCGGUAAUACGGAGGGGGCAAGCGUUGUUCGGAAUUAUUGGGCGUAAAGGGCAUGUAGGCGGUUCGGUAAGUUAAAGGUGAAAUGCCAGGGCUUAACCCUGGAGCUGCUUUUAAUACUGCCAGACUGGAGUCCGGGAGA
rnacentral:rRNA from 1 species